rnacentral:rRNA from 1 species
GAGCGUACACGGUGGAUGCCUUGGCAACUAGAGGCGAUGAAAGACGUUGUAGCCUGCGAUAAGCUACGGUGAGGUGGCAAACAACCUUUGACCCGUAGAUUUCUGAAUGGGGAAACCCACUUCUUCGGAAGUAUCCUGCACUGAAUACAUAGGUGACAGGAGGCAAACCUAGGGAACUGAAACAUCUAAGUACCUAGAGGAAAAGAAAUCAAAUGAGAUUCCCUUAGUAGCGGCGAGCGAACGGGGAAUAGCCCAAACCGAUGGGUUCGUCCCAUCGGGGUUGUAGGACUGCCAACAACGGGACUGGUAGGGAUAGACGAACGGUCUGAAAAGUCCGGCCAUAGCGGGUUAUAGCCCCGUAGUCGAAAUCCUCUUACCUACCCUAGGCAUGUUCCUGAGUAGCUCGGGGCACGUGAAAUCCUGAGUGAACCUGGGGGGACCAUCCUCCAAGGCUAAAUACUCCUGACUGAC